GUGUCAGCCGCCGCGGUAAUACAGAGGGUGCUAGCGUUGUUCGGAAUUAUUGGGCGUAAAGCGCGUGUAGGCGGCCGAUCAAGUCGGAUGUGAAAGCCCUCGGCUUAACCGAGGAAGUGCGUUCGAUACUAGUUGGCUUGAGUACCGGAGAGGGUGGUGGAAUUCCCGGUGUAGAGGUGAAAUUCGUAGAUAUCGGGAGGAACACCAGCGGCGAAGGCGACCACCUGGACGGAUACUGACGCUGAGACGCGAAAGCGUGGGGAGCAAACAGGAUUAGAUACCCUGGUAGUCCACGCCGUAAACGAUGAGCGCUAGGUGUUGCGGGUGUUGACCCCUGCAGUGCCGAAGCUAACGCAUUAAGCGCUCCGCCUGGGAAGUACGGCCGCAAGGCUAAA
rnacentral:rRNA from 1 species